AUGCUGGGAGCCUGGAGGACUAGCGAGGAGUAGUUGAGAGAACGGAGCGGACGCCAUGGCGGCCGACAUCGAGCAGGUUUUCAGGUCUUUCGUGGUCAGUAAAUUCCGGGAAAUACAACAGGAGCUUUCCAGUGGAAGGAGUGAAGGCCAGCUGAAUGGUGAAACAAAUACACCCAUUGAAGGAAACCAGGCAGGUGACACAGCUGCCUCUGCAAGGAGUCUCCCAAAUGAAGAGAUAGUGCAGAAGAUAGAGGAGGUCCUUUCUGGGGUCUUAGAUACAGAGCUACGAUACAAGCCAGACUUGAAAGAGGCCUCCAGAAAAAGUAGAUGCGUAUCUGUGCAAACAGAUCCUACUGAUGAAGUGCCCACCAAAAAGUCAAAGAAGCAUAAAAAGCACAAAAACAAAAAGAAGAAAAAGAAGAAAGAAAAAGAAAAAAAAUAUAAAAGACAACCAGAAGAAUCUGAGUCCAAGCUGAAAUCUCAUCAUGAUGGGAAUGUUGAUCUAGAAUCUGAUUCCUUCUUAAAGUUUGAUUCUGAACCUUCAGCAGUGGCACUGGAACAUCCUGUAAGAGCAUUUGGCUUAUCUGAGGCCAGUGAGACCCCCUUAGUGCUGGAACCUCCAGUAGUCUCAAUGGAGGUUCAGGAGUCACAUGUUCUAGAGACGCUGAAGCCAGCUACAAAAGCUGCAGAACUGUCAGUUGUAUCUACAUCAGUAAUCUCAGAGCCGUCUGAGCAGCCUGUGCCAGGUAUGCUGGAGCCAUCAAUGACAAAGAUUCUGGAUUCCUUCACAGCAGCACCAGUGCCUAUGUCAACAGCAGCGCUGAAGUCACCUGAGCCCGUUAUAACAAUGUCAGUGGAAUAUCAGAAGUCUGUGCUGAAAUCUUUGGAGACUAUGCCUCCAGAGACGUCAAAGACCACGCUGGUAGAGCCUCCCAUAGCAAAAGUGGUUGAGCCAUCAGAAACCCUCACAAUAGUGUCAGAGACACCUACUGAGGUGCACCCUGAACCAAGCCCAUCAACAAUGGAUUUUCCAGAGUCAUCUACAACUGACGUGCAAAGAUUGCCAGAGCAGCCUGUAGAAGCACCAUCGGAGAUUGCAGAUUCAUCCAUGACAAGACCUCAGGAGUCACUGGAGCUGCCUAAGACCACAGCGGUGGAGCUGCAGGAGUCGUCGGUGGCCUCAGCCCUGGAGUUGCCGGGGCCACCUGCGACCUCCAUUCUGGAGUUGCAGGGGCCCCCUGUGACUCCAGUGCCAGAGUUGCCUGGGCCCUCUGCCACCCCAGUGCCAGAGUUGUCAGGGCCCCUUUCUACCCCAGUGCCUGAGUUGCCAGGGCCCCCUGCGACAGCGGUCCCUGAGUUGCCGGGGCCCUCUGUGACACCAGUGCCACAGUUGUUGCAGGAAUUGCCAGGGCCUCCAGCACCAUCCAUGGGGUUGGAGCCACCACAGGAGGUACCAGAGCCACCUGUGAUGGCACAGGAGUUAUCAGGGGUGCCUGCAGUGUCGGCAGCGAUAGAGUUGACAGGGCAACCUGCAGUAACAGUAGCAAUGGAGUUGACCGAACAACCUGUGACGACGACAGAGUUCGAGCAGCCUGUGGCGAUGACAACGGUGGAGCAUCCUGGGCAUCCUGAGGUGACAACAGCUACAGGGUUGCUGGGGCAGCCAGAGGCAGCAAUGGUGCUGGAGUUGCCAGGACAGCCAGUGGCAACCACAGCGCUGGAGUUGUCUGGGCAGCCUUCGGUGACUGGGGUGCCAGAGUUGUCAGGGCUGCCUUCGGCAACUAGGGCACUGGAGUUGUCAGGGCAGUCUGUGGCAACUGGGGCAUUAGAGUUGCCUGGUCAGCUCAUGGCAACUGGGGCACUGGAGUUUUCGGGGCAGUCUGGGGCAGCUGGAGCACUGGAGCUUUUGGGGCAGCCCCUAGCAACGGGGGUGCUAGAGUUACCAGGGCAGCCUGGAGCGCCAGAGUUGCCUGGGCAGCCUGUGGCAACUGUGGCGCUGGAGAUCUCUGUUCAGUCUGUGGUGACAACAUCGGAGCUGUCAACGAUGACCGUGUCGCAGUCCAUGGAGGUGCCCUCGACGACAGCGCUGGAAUCCUAUAAUACGGUAGCACAGGAGCUGCCUACUACAUUGGUGGGGGAGACUUCUGUAACAGUAGGAGUGGAUCCCUUGAUGGCCCAAGAAUCCCAUAUGUUAGCUUCUAACACCAUGGAGACCCAUAUGUUAGCAUCCAAUACCAUGGACUCCCAGAUGCUAGCAUCCAACACUAUGGAUUCUCAGAUGCUAGCAUCCAAUACCAUGGACUCCCAGAUGUUAGCCUCUAGCACCAUGGACUCCCAGAUGUUAGCCUCUAGCACCAUGGACUCCCAGAUGUUAGCAACUAGCACCAUGGACUCCCAGAUGUUAGCAACUAGCUCUAUGGACUCCCAGAUGUUAGCAACUAGCUCUAUGGACUCCCAGAUGUUAGCAACCAGCAGUAUGGACUCCCAGAUGUUAGCAACCAGCAGUAUGGACUCCCAGAUGUUAGCAACCAGCAGUAUGGACUCCCAGAUGUUAGCAACCAGUUCCAUGGANAUGGACUCCCAGAUGUUAGCAACCAGCAGUAUGGACUCCCAGAUGUUAGCAACCAGUUCCAUGGACUCCCAGAUGUUAGCAUCUGGUGCUAUGGAUUCUCAGAUGUUAGCUUCUGGCACUAUGGAUGCUCAGAUGUUAGCAUCUGGUACCAUGGAUGCCCAAAUGUUAGCAUCUAGUACCCAGGAUUCUGCUAUGAUGGGUUCAAAGUCUCCUGAUCCCUAUAGGUUAGCUCAGGAUCCUUACAGAUUAGCUCAGGAUCCCUAUAGGUUGGGUCAUGACCCCUACAGGUUAGGCCAUGAUGCUUACAGGUUAGGACAAGACCCUUAUAGAUUAGGCCAUGAUCCCUACAGACUAACUCCGGAUCCCUAUAGGGUGUCACCUAGGCCCUAUAGGAUAGCACCUAGGUCCUAUAGGAUAGCACCUAGGCCAUACAGGUUAGCACCUAGACCCUUGAUGUUAGCAUCUAGACGUUCUAUGAUGAUGUCCUAUGCUGCAGAACGUUCCAUGAUGUCAUCUUAUGAGCGCUCUAUGAUGUCUUAUGAACGCUCUAUGAUGUCCCCUAUGGCUGAACGCUCUAUGAUGUCGGCCUAUGAGCGCUCCAUGAUGUCAGCUUAUGAGCGCUCCAUGAUGUCUCCUAUGGCUGAGCGUUCUAUGAUGUCAGCUUAUGAGCGCUCUAUGAUGUCAGCUUAUGAACGCUCCAUGAUGUCUCCUAUGGCUGAUCGAUCCAUGAUGUCUAUGGGUGCCGACCGGUCUAUGAUGUCGUCGUACUCUGCAGCUGACCGGUCUAUGAUGUCAUCGUACUCUGCAGCUGAUCGAUCAAUGAUGUCAUCUUACACUGAUCGAUCAAUGAUGUCUAUGGCAGCUGAUUCUUACACUGAUUCUUAUACUGAUUCCUAUACGGAGGCAUAUAUGGUGCCACCUUUGCCUCCUGAAGAGCCCCCAACAAUGCCACCAUUGCCACCCGAGGAACCACCAAUGACACCCCCAUUACCUCCUGAGGAACCACCAGAGGGUCCAGCGUUAUCAACAGAGCAGUCAGCAUUAACAGCUGACAAUACUUGGUCUACAGAGGUGACAUUACCUACUGGAGAAUCUCUAUCACAGCCUGAGCCUCCUGUGAGUCAAAGUGAGAUUUCAGAGCCUAUGGCAGUACCUGCUAAUUAUUCAGUGUCAGAAUCAGAAACUUCAAUGUUAGCAUCAGAGGCUGUUAUGACUGUUCCAGAACCUGCACGAGAGCCCGAGUCUUCAGUCACAUCAACACCAGUUGAGUCUGCUGUAGUAGCAGAACAUGAAAUGGUUCCAGAGAGACCGAUGACUUACAUGGUUUCUGAGACUACCAUGUCAGCUGAACCAGCUGUGUUAACAUCAGAGGCUUCUGUUCUAUCAGAGACAUCAGAAACAUAUGAUUCCAUGAGACCAUCAGGACAUGCUAUCUCAGAGGUAACUAUGUCACUCUUGGAGCCAGCAGUAACUAUUUCACAGCCAGCAGAGAGCAGUCUAGAGCUCCCAUCCAUGACUGUCCCAGCACCUUCUACUAUGACUACCACAGAAUCUCCUGUUGUUGCUGUCCCAGAAAUUCCUGCUGUGGCUGUCCCAGAACCUCCCAUUAUGGCUGUUCCAGAACUCCCCACCAUGGCUGUAGUAGAAACCCCCGCUGUGGCUGUCCCAGAACCUCUUGUGGCUGCUCCAGAGCCUCCUACCAUGACUACUCCAGAACUUUGCUCCUUAUCUGUCUCAGAACCUCCUGUGGCUGUUUCAGAGCUUCCAGCUUUGGCUGAUCCAGAGCAUGCUAUCACUGCAGUGUCAGGUGUUUCUUCCCUGGAGCCUUCUGUGCCUAUUUUGGAACCAGCAGUAUCAGUCCUUCAACCUGUUAUGAUUGUUUCAGAGCCAUCUGUUCCUGUCCAGGAACCUACUGUGGCAGUUUUAGAACCUGCUGUCAUAGUCUCAGAGCACACGCAAAUAACAUCACCUGAGAUGGCUGUAGAGUCUUCACCAGGAAUAGUGGACUCUAGUGUUAUGUCAUCACAGAUUAUGAAAGGAAUGAAUUUACUUGGUGGUGAUGAAAAUCUUGGUCCAGAGGUUGGCAUGCAGGAGACUCUGUUGCAUCCAGGUGAAGAGCCACGUGAUGGAGGACACUUGAAAAGUGACUUGUAUGAAAAUGAGUAUGAUAGAAAUGCAGACCUUACUGUAAACAGUCAUUUAAUUGUUAAAGAUGCAGAGCAUAACACAGUGUGUGCUACUACCAUUGGUCCUGUUGGUGAAGCAAGUGAAGAGAAACUUUUGCCUAUUAGUGAGACUAAGGAAAUCACAGAAUUGGCUACCUGUCCUGCCGUCAGUGAAGCUGACGUAGGCAGAAGUCUGUCUUCUCAGCUUGCUCUGGAGCUGGAUACAGUAGGAACUAGUAAGAGGUUUGAAUUUGUCACAGCAUCUGCACCCUUUUCAGAGAGUAAAUAUGAUGUUGAAGUAUCUGUAACUACUCAAGAUACUGAACAUGACAUGGUCAUUUCCACCAGCCCUAGUGGUGGCAGCGAAGCAGACAUAGAGGGACCUUUGCCUGCUAAAGACAUUCAUCUUGAUUUGUCAUCAACUAAUUUUGUUUGUAAGGAUGUAGAAGACUCGUUACCUAUCACAGAGAGUGACCAGGCAGUGGCAGUGGCUCUUAGCCCUAAAGAAAGCAGUGAAGAUACAGAAGUACCUCUUCCCAAUAAAGAAAUAGUUCAGGAGUCAGGAUAUUCUGCCAGCAUUGAUGAAAUUAAUGAAGCUGACUUAGUGAGACCAUUACUUCCUAAGGACAUGGAGCGUCUUACAAGCCUUAGAGCUGGCAUUGAAGGACCUUCCCUUGCUAGUGAGGUUGAGCGUGACAAGUCAGCUGCCAGUCCAGUUGUAAUCAGCAUACCAGAAAGAGCUUCAGAGUCCUCUUCAGAGGAAAAGGAUGACUAUGAGAUUUUUGUAAAAGUCAAAGACACACAUGAAAAAAGCAAGAAAAAUAAAAACCGUGACAAAGGUGAGAAGGAGAAGAAAAGGGACUCUUCAUUACGGUCUCGGAGUAAGCGUUCCAAGUCUUCUGAACAUAAGUCACGCAAGCGCACCAGUGAGUCUCGUUCUCGAGCAAGGAAGAGGUCAUCUAAGUCUAAGUCUCAUCGUUCUCAGACACGGUCACGGUCACGGUCAAGACGCAGGAGGAGGAGUAGCAGAUCAAGAUCGAAGUCUAGAGGAAGACGGUCUGUAUCAAAAGAGAAACGCAAAAGGUCUCCAAAGCAUAGAUCCAAGUCCAGGGAAAGGAAAAGGAAAAGAUCAAGCUCCCGAGACAACCGGAAAACAGCUCGAGCACGGAGUCGAACUCCAAGUCGGCGGAGUAGGAGUCACACUCCUAGUCGGAGGAGACGGUCUAGAUCUGUUGGUAGAAGGAGAAGUUUCAGCAUUUCCCCAAGCCGCAGGAGCAGAACCCCAAGCCGCAGGAGCAGAACCCCAAGCCGCAGGAGCAGAACCCCUAGCCGCAGGAGCAGAACCCCCAGCCGAAGGAGCCGAACUCCCAGCCGCAGGAGCCGAACUCCCAGCCGUCGGAGAAGAUCACGGUCUGUGGUAAGACGACGAAGCUUCAGUAUAUCACCGGUCAGAUUAAGGCGAUCAAGAACACCUUUGAGAAGACGGUUUAGUAGAUCUCCCAUUCGUCGGAAAAGAUCCAGGUCUUCUGAAAGAGGCAGAUCGCCCAAACGUCUAACAGAUUUGGAUAAGGCUCAAUUACUUGAAAUAGCCAAAGCUAAUGCAGCUGCCAUGUGUGCUAAGGCUGGUGUUCCUUUACCACCAAACCUAAAGCCUGCACCUCCACCUACAAUAGAAGAGAAAGUUGCUAAAAAGUCUGGAGGAGCUACCAUAGAAGAACUAACUGAGAAAUGCAAACAGAUUGCACAGAGUAAAGAAGAUGAUGAUGUAAUAGUGAAUAAACCUCAUGUUUCGGAUGAAGAGGAAGAAGAACCUCCUUUUUAUCAUCAUCCCUUUAAACUCAGUGAACCCAAGCCCAUUUUUUUCAAUUUGAAUAUUGCUGCAGCAAAGCCAACUCCACCGAAAAGCCAAGUAACGUUAACAAAGGAGUUUCCUGUGUCAUCCGGAUCGCAACAUCGGAAAAAGGAAGCGGAUAGUGUUUAUGGAGAGUGGGUUCCAGUAGAGAAAAAUGGUGAAGAAAGCAAAGAUGAUGAUAAUGUUUUCAGCAGCAGCUUGCCCUCAGAGCCUGUGGACAUUUCAACAGCAAUGAGUGAACGGGCACUUGCUCAGAAGAGGCUCAGUGAGAAUGCAUUUGACCUUGAAGCCAUGAGUAUGUUAAACCGAGCUCAAGAACGGAUUGACGCCUGGGCUCAGUUGAACUCUAUCCCUGGGCAGUUCACAGGAAGUACAGGAGUGCAAGUCCUGACACAGGAACAGCUGGCUAAUACUGGUGCCCAAGCCUGGAUUAAAAAGUGCCUGCACCGCCUAUAAAUGCCUUUGCUCCUGCCUCCUAUGACGUCUAGCCCCAGGUCCCUAUAUGGUGGUCAGCUAUUAGAUACAGCAAGUGGUUGGGAGGCCCUAAUUAGUGCUGCAUGUGGUAACCUUGUCCUGGGACUGAGAGGCUGGAGGGGGGGAGGGUGGCUUGAAUGUGGGGUGGGCAGUUGUGAAAGGGGUGGUAACAGGGUGGGAUGGGCUGGAGAUAACUAUCUGUGGACCACCAUUUAGGUCCUGGUGGCCUCUGGUGAUCCACAGGCUCAAUUUGAGAACCACUGACUUCAUGAAAAAACAGGAUAUGUAAGACCUAAAGUCAAGGGAGAGGACGGACAUCCCAUGCUGCGAAGAUGUAGUGCGCCCACCCGGUCUCAGGUUCCUGCAGUGGGAUUUGUCAACUCCACCUACGGCUACCUCAUUGUUGGGGGAGUCUUAGGUGGUUAUAAAGGGGUUUUCUGAAGAAACAAGGUCUGCUGAAGGGCUGUGGUUUGGUUGGACGGGUGAUGGGAAAUUUGUUUCAGGAAACUGGGAGGCUGCGUGGUCUCUCGGAUUGGGAAGGUUUCUUUGUCCUGCUGUACUCCUGACUCCUUGUGUGAUCGUGGGCAAGUAAUUCCUUGGAAUUUGUGUCUCCCAAGUGUCAAGGGGCUGGAGACAGGGUCUUGUAACUGCCUCAGAGAAUGGCAGAGAGAAGGGUACUUACUGUUUGUAGAACUGGAGUGAGUGUUAUUCAUGGGUGUGCUCACGUUUUCAAGAGAAAGUUUGGGUUGUCUUGGACAUUUAAUACCAUAACAGUUUCAUAGCAGAAGCAUUCAUUACCUGUGAGUCUCUUAUUAACAGAUUAAUAUAAGGCACCAUACAUCCUCAUUGUGCUUGCCUGGUUUUCCCCUUAAAUGGUUGCACGAAUAUAUACCUAGGGAUUAGUUUUGGGGAAAAAAAGGAAUAAUAAUAAUUGGAUUUAUUUUAUAUACUAAUACUUUGUAUAAAUUAUGAAAGUGAUAGUUGAAAAGUAGGGAAGAAUUACGUGAUCAGUUUUUUUGUGACAUUGGAUUUAAAACUUGGGACCUCGCAUUAGGUUGUAAUGAGUAAGUUUCUACCACAGAGCCCCAUAUUGAAUCCUUCAUUCAUCUGGUGCUAAGGAUUACAGGAAGUUAGGUACAAAGUAUUUUUGAGUAUUUAUGCACAUAAUAGUUGAUGCACAGUGCUUGGUACAGAGAAGCAUCUGUAAGGACGUUGACUGUGAAGUGUGCUGCAACUGUGCUUCUGUAUAAAGAAAGAGCAGGUGAAGGCAAGUAAGGUCCAGGGUGAGGCUUGACUUCACAAGUGGCUCCCUAAAUACUUUGUCCUGAAUAUACUUUUGCUGUUUUUCAGUUUGUAAGUAGUCAAUGUUUACUUGAGCCUGUAAAAUGAAUUUGCUUUAUAUUUUGUAUAGAAUAUAAUCUAAAAAGCAAAUCAUUUUGCUGCGUUACGUGUUCAUCAGAGCAGGCUUUCUGUCCGUUACAGAAGUCAGCAGUAAAAGUAGAACAGUUUGUAUGCACUCGAGAGUAUCUGCUUCAUGAAAACCACAAGAGCGCUAGUUUAUUAAAAUGGGCCAGGACAUUUAGAGGCAAUCAUUUCAUUCAUAAGUUUUGUUUAUACCCAUUAACCAACCAUGUUUAGAAGAUAUAUUGAAAGGGUCAUUUGGCUUUUUCUUGGACCAGCACUGUCAUUGUGUAUUAAAAUCCACAGGGAAUGCCAAUAAACACCCUCUGUGUUCUUUAGUUUGUUUUAGAAUACUUCUAACUUAAUAUAAAGGAAAUAUUUCAUCAGUAUACUCAUUCAUUCACUAGUAAAAUAUUUAAAAGGUAAUUGAUUCAAAGGACCUUUAUUUUCUCAAAUGACUUAGGACUUGAUUUCAUAAUAAUUGUUGGUUAUUGUGUGAUCUCAUUAGAUUAAGACAGGUUUUUUAUACUGGGAAUAGAGGGAUGUGAAGAUAAUAUAAUAGCAAACAGAAGCAGAACUGGAAAACGGGGUUAAUUGGGGAUUUAUAUUGUACUCUGUCUGUACAGCUGCCCUUUUUUUUAGGAGUGUUUCCUGGAAAAGAGGGGGAGAUGAACCCGGAAGUAAGUAAAGUCAUUCUAGGUGUGUAGCAUCAAGGCAGUUGCUAUCCAAGUACCAGCUAACUUUUCUUUUUAUACAUCCACAAUGCAUGGCCUGCACCAAAUGAGGAACUGAACCAGGGGUGUGUUUUUACCUCUACAGCUGCCUCCUUCCAUCAGAGCACCUUGUUGAACUUAAUGUCUAGUCACAUGUCAUUGGCAUGUUUUCUUCCCAACAUUUAAUUAUAAAGCUGGGAAACAGUGUAUGCAUCUUACUGUACUGUAAAAACGUGAGUGUUAAGUAUUAACUUACCCAAAGAAGGAAAUACGUGCAUACUUGCUGAUUUUGUAAUGACUGGAUAUAUAUUUGGCAGAGCAUUAACCUAAAAUGCCGUAAUGAUUGGAAAUAAAACAUGGUUCGGAGAUGUUUCAAUUAGAAAGAAACAAAAGCAAACACACACAGUUCAACAGCAGAAUCCAUCACUGGUAGAUUUGCAUUGAUACUUUUAAAAAGUAAAAAGAGGCACUGGACAUUUCUUAACUGGAGACCACUGACUGCUGACCGUGCUGGUGCACACAGUUGUGCAGCUUAGGACAUUAAGUGCUUUGCUGCUUUGAUGGAAAUUAUGGUUCAGUGGGUUGGAUACAAGAGAGAUGAUUGUUCACAGAAUAACCUGUGAACUUUCACCCCUCUGUAUGGAAACUUGUUUCAGGGCCAAAUCCUUGUAGCUGUCUUCUUGCCCCGGUCAGUGCCAGCCGUACUAUUCACAACACUGCUGCUACCGAGGCCUAGGAUCAGUUCUUAAGAGCAG